CAUUCUAGAGAGAGCCCCUGUCCAGCUACCCGAUGGGAGCCACUAAAGAGAAUAAGAUAUUCUCCUGCUGUAUCCCAACUUUCUGAGGCUCUGACCCCAGGAAAGCCCGGCACGAGAGCCUUUUCCAUUGCUGCAGGCUUUCUGGUUCAGCACUCACUUCUGGCACCUCUGGCCAUUUGGCAGGAAGUACCCAAAGUGAUGGCCAGGCAGGGCCCUGAUGUCUGAUGAUCUGGCUGCUGAGCAUCAUUUGUGCAGAGCUCCAUGUGGGAGAUCAGUGGGAGCUGGUUGAUGGGUUCAACUCCUCCAUCUUCCUAGACAAGGGUAUGAAAAUGAGUUAACCCUGCACCUGGGCGAGAUCUGCACAAUGUGGACCCCUCCAGUUCCUGGACUGGGUAUUUAAUAGGUGGGAGCCUGUCCCUUCCACAGCACAGUGGGGACUCUGCCACCAGCUAGCUGUGUGUCUCAGGAAUUUUGCUGCACCUCUCUGAGCCUCAGUUUGCUCCUCUGAGAAGAAAGAUACACAUGCAUCCUGCCAUAUUCUGACAGGGAUGAUGGACCUCAGGAUCAACCAAAAAUGUCAGUGGACUUCAG